ensembl:lncRNA
GGCGUAAUUAUUUAAGGAUCUUGAGAUCAUUCCGGACUACAUUCAAUGACAAGUAUCCUUAUAAGAGACACACAGUGAAGAGAUGCAAAGACAGAGGCAGAGAUUGGAGGGAUGUGCCCAUGAGCCAAGGAAUACCUGGUGCCACCAGAAGCCAGAAGAGGCAAGGACCAGAUUGUCCCCAGAGGCUUCAGAGGGAGUGCAGCCUCGUGGAUACCUUGAUUUUGGAUUUCUGGUCUUCUGUUACUUUAAGCCAGCAAGCUAGUGACAAUCUACCUUCAGGAAACUAAUGUAAGUAUGCAAAGUGCAGAAAGGAGAUGCUAUGGUCCUUACUGGAACCUGGUGCUGGGUGAUGGCUCAGCCCCUCCCCACCUUGAGGACAGGCUCCCGCAAGUCUCAGCCUAUCAGGGUUGUCUCAGGUCCCUCACCAGUGAUUGGCUUAAGGGUGGGCAUGUGACCCCAUUUUAGCCAAUGAGAGGGGAGGGGAAGGUGCCCUAGGGGAAAAAUGGCCCCUCUUCCUUCCUAGAGCGUGACCAUCUGUACCUGUGUGCCCACACGGCUGGCCUGAGCAUGAGGGUGAAAGGGAGCGAUGGAAAGGCCUGCAGAAGGUGGGGCAGCAACAGGUUAUGAUACAAGCCAGAGCCUAAUCUCAACUGCAAACUGCCCACCAACGUAGAAUAUAGGAAAAUGCUUCCUAAAGGCGAAACUCUCAUACAAGACACUGGGGUCCCUGACGGGACAACCUAAGCCUGAAGCAUGUCUCCUGAUGGAAACAGAAUAUAUCCAGCAGUGACUCCUGACUGGAAGGGACCCCGAGGACCCCAAAUACCCAGAGGAGGCUCACCACAAAGAAAGGGGAAGUACAAACUGUCUGAAUGGCUAGGAUGGGAGGACGUCGGUUCUGACACAGCUUGGGGCCUACUCCUGACCCAGAUGCAUGGCUCGGAGGAUGGGUUUCAGGAAGCCUGGCUGAGGGUGAGCACAGCAGGCCGAGGCAGCCAGCUUGCUUGAGCCCGGGAGUUAGAGAUCAGCCUGUGGCAAUGUGGCAAGACCCCAUCUCUACAAAAAAAUUCAAAAAUUAGUCAGGUAUGGUGAUGCAUGUUUGCAAUCCCAGCUACUCAGAAGACUGAGUCAGGAGGGUCACCUGAGCCCAGGGAGGCCAAGGCUGCAAUGAGUUCUGAUCGUGCCAUUGCACUUCAGCCUGGGUGAGUUAGUGAGACCCUGUCUCAAAAAAAAAAAAGCUGGAACCAGAGGAGACUAAACAUGUACAAAGGCAAGUAGGAACACCCUUCUUUAAAGAGCCUCUUCCACCUGCUGGGGCUGGAGCAGCCGCAGCCUCAGCCUCAGCAGACAGGGACCCAAGUCAUCCACAGCACGACAGGCAGUGGCCCAGGAGCCUGCGCAACAUGUUACCACCAUUGGUCCUGCUCAUUACCUCUCAACCUCCACUAGAGACCUGUGAAGACAGGUGUCUUGUCCUGUUCUCUUCUGUCUCCCCAACACCUAGUACAUAAUUAAUAAUUCAUAGCUUUGGAUCAAACAAUGAAUAAAUGAUACAUCUGAAACCCAUUUAAUGUGCAGAC